rnacentral:misc_RNA from 1 species
AACGCAUCUUGCGCUCCUUGGUAUUCCAUGGAGCAUGCCUGUUUGAGUGUCACGUAAACCCUCACCCCUGCGAUGUAACAGUCGCUCGCGGUGGACUUGGACUGUGCCGUAACCGGCUCGUCUCGAAAUGCAUUAGCUGGCGCUUUUAGAGUGCUGGGCGACGGUGUGAUAAUUAUCUGCGCCAAUGCCUUAGGCCUCUUCAGCGGUGCUGCUUACAGCCGUCCCUCUGUGGACACAUUUUUUAAAUCUUUGGCCUCAAAUCAGGUAGGACUACCCGCUGAACUUAA